rnacentral:rRNA from 1 species
GAUGAACGCUGACAGAAUGCUUAACACAUGCAAGUCAACUUGGACUUCGGUUUGGGUGGCGGACGGGUGAGUAACGCGUAAAGAACUUGCCUCACAGAUAGGGACAACAUUUGGAAACGAAUGCUAAUACCUGAUAUUAUGAUUUUAGGGCAUCCUAGGAUUAUGAAAGCUAUAUGCGCUGUGAGAGAGCUUUGCGUCCCAUUAGCUAGUUGGAGAGGUAACGGCUCACCAAGGCGAUGAUGGGUAGCCGGCCUGAGAGGGUGAUCGGCCACAAGGGGACUGAGACACGGCCCUUACUCCUACGGGAGGCAGCAGUGGGGAAUAUUGGACAAUGGACCAAGAGUCUGAUCCAGCAAUUCUGUGUGCACGAUGAAGUUUUUCGGAAUGUAAAGUGCUUUCAGUUGGGAAGAAAAAAAUGACGGUACCAACAGAAGAAGUGACGGCUAAAUACGUGCCAGCAGCCGCGGUAAUACGUAUGUCACAAGCGUUAUCCGGAUUUAUUGGGCGUAAAGCGCGUCUAGGUGGUUAUAUAAGUCUGAUGUGAAAAUGCAGGGCUCAACUCUGUAUUGCGUUGGAAACUGUGUAACUAGAGUACUGGAGAGGUAAGCGGAACUACAAGUGUAGAGGUGAAAUUCGUAGAUAUUUGUAGGAACGCCGAUGGGGAAGCCAGCUUACUGGACAGAUACUGACGCUGAAGCGCGAAAGCGUGGGUAGCAAACAGG